rnacentral:rRNA from 1 species
AUUGAACGCUGGCGGCAGGCUUAACACAUGCAAGUCGAGCGGGGAAAAGUAGCUUGCUACUUUACCUAGCGGCGGACGGGUGAGUAAUGCUUAGGAAUCUGCCUAUUAGUGGGGGACAACAUCUCGAAAGGGAUGCUAAUACCGCAUACGUCCUACGGGAGAAAGCAGGGGACCUUCGGGCCUUGCGCUAAUAGAUGAGCCUAAGUCGGAUUAGCUAGUUGGUGGGGUAAAGGCCUACCAAGGCGACGAUCUGUAGCGGGUCUGAGAGGAUGAUCCGCCACACUGGGACUGAGACACGGCCCAGACUCCUACGGGAGGCAGCAGUGGGGAAUAUUGGACAAUGGGGGGAACCCUGAUCCAGCCAUGCCGCGUGUGUGAAGAAGGCCUUUUGGUUGUAAAGCACUUUAAGCGAGGAGGAGGCUACUUUAGUUAAUACCUAGAGAUAGUGGACGUUACUCGCAGAAUAAGCACCGGCUAACUCUGUGCCAGCAGCCGCCGUAA